rnacentral:misc_RNA from 1 species
UAAAAUAAUGGUUGGCGCACUCAGUGGAGGUUUACCAAAACUGGGCGCGCUGCUACACCUCUGUGCACUGUAAUAGUAUCGGGUCAAAGUAACGAAGUCCUUUGGGAUUGCGAAGCCUUGGCCCACCAACGGUUUCGACCGUAUAAACAACUUUUUAAUUUGACUGACUUUUGUUUCUAACGAAUCAAAAA